rnacentral:rRNA from 1 species
UACGUAGGGUGCAAGCGUUGUCCGGAAUUAUUGGGCGUAAAGAGCUCGUAGGCGGCUCAUUGCGUCAACCGUGAAAACCAGCAGCUCAACUGUUGGCUUGCGGUUGAUACGGGUGGGCUGGAGUUCGGUAGGGGAGACUGGAAUUCCUGGUGUAGCGGUGAAAUGCGCAGAGUAUCAGGAGGAACACCGGUGGCGAAGGGCGGGGUC